rnacentral:rRNA from 1 species
GACGGAGGGCGCAAGCGUUGUUCGGAAUUACUGGGCGUAAAGCGCACGCAGGCGGUCUUUUAAGUCCACUGUUAAAUCCCGGGGCUCAACCCCGGAGAUGCAGUGGAUACUGAGAGACUGGAGACCGGUAGAGGCUAGCGGAAUUCCUGGUGUAGCGGUGGAAUGCGUAGAUAUCAGGAGGAACACCGGUGGCGAAGGCGGCUAGCUGGGCCGGUUCUGACGCUCAUGUGCGAAAGCGUGGGGAGCAAACAGG